UACGAAGGGGGCUAGCGUUGCUCGGAAUCACUGGGCGUAAAGGGUGCGUAGGUGGAUAUUUAAGUCAGGGGUGAAAUCCUGGAGCUCAACUCCAGAACUGCCUUUGAUACUGAGUAUCUUGAGUUCGGGAGAGGUAAGUGGAACUGCGAGUGUAGAGGUGAAAUUCGUAGAUAUUCGGAAGAACACCAGUGGCGAAGGCGGCUCACUGGACCGGUAUUGACGCUGAGGUGCGAAAGCGUGGGGAGCAAACAGG
rnacentral:rRNA from 1 species